CCUUAUCCCAGAGUUUCCUGGGACCCUGGUAUAUAAGACCCAGGAUUGCUGUUUUCUAGAGUCCUCCAGGGUCAGUGCAAGGGGGACACAUGCAGAUAAAAUUCCGUCUAACCCAGGCAGCUUUUCUGAGCCUCAGGGAACCAGCUCACAGUGAAUCCCAAGUUUCUGUUACUCCUUGCCGCCCAUCUAUAAACUGACUUCAUGGAUGUUCGGAUGUGUGUGCGGAUGUUCUGACUCAUUGGACUCGGACAAGUUGUUUUACUUGAGUCCAACAUUCC
rnacentral:lncRNA from 10 species